UUAAGAAAUAUUACAAGUUUUACAGUGAUUGACAUUUUUAACAACCAUCCAUCCACCUCGAUCCAACGGUAAUAAAAAGACGGAACCAAAUUGACGGAACCAAAAAUGUAGGACCGGAACUAAAAUCUGUGGGACCGGAACCUCCGAUAAAUUUUACGAACUUUAUAAAAAACGAGCGUCCUUUUAAACGGAUGAAUCAUCAGAUAAGACUGCACGCAUCUUAAAGCAACCAAUUAACAUAUCUGCACACAUGUCAUGUAAAUUGAGGCAUAUUGUAUUCACCGAUUCAUCCUCUCGUCUCUAUCUCCCUUCUUACCGUUCAUCCUCUUUUAAUCUCUCAUGGCCUCUCUCCGACGAUCCCUGGGCGGCGACGGCUAGAGCUCCGAGGGCGGCGGAGGCCGACGGGAUCGAGAACGGCCAGAAGGAGAUGGAGCGGCAUCUCUCCCCGGCGAUCUCUGCACGGCAGCGGCUGGAGCACCGAGGGCGAUGGCGGAGCUAGGUGACGAAGCCAGCUGGAAGAGUCAUCCAGAUUUUCUCCCCGGCGAGGAGGUGACAGGGCGGCGGGGCGGUGUUUCUCCCUGGUGACCCCUUGGCGACAGUGGCUAGAGCACCAAGGGCGACUACGGCUGGAGCAACGAGGGCGGCAAAGGCAGACAGGAUCAGGAGAGGCAAGGAGGAGACAAUUGUUGAUGGCAGUCAUCCAGAUUUUCAUGCAACCAUUCGAUAUAUUUUAUCCUUUUAUGCUUAAUAUGUACUACUAACAAGGUCAGAACAUCUCAAGUUUGUAGCACAUGCUCUAAGUUUACACGUAUAGAAAAAAACACAUGAAGUGCUUGAACACAAGACUUUUCUGUAACA